rnacentral:tRNA from 1 species
GUUUCCGUGGUGGUGGUUAUCACGUCCGCUUAACACGCGGAAGGUCGCAGGUUCGGUCCCUGCCGGAAACA